UGGAAAAGUUUAGUUCGUGCUCAUCCCUCCAGGUGUAGAGGAAGCAACCCAGGUUGAGACUUGGUGAAGGGCGAGCAGUGACAACACAAUGAUUCACAAGACCUGCGUGGUGGUGGUGGGUGUGUUGGCAGCCCUGGUGGCCACCGGUGCUGCCCAUCAGAUGAUGUGGGGCAGCUGCUCAACCAACCCUUUUACACCUUUUCCUGAUUUCAACCCUCAAAGAUUCAACGGGUCGUGGUACGUUAUAAAGAAGCUGGUGACGUCGAGCAGAUGUAUGAUCACCACCUUCGACCUGCAGGAGAACAGCACCAGCUUCAAGGUGCAGGAGUUACGCACCCCCAUCAUCGUCGACGUCACCCCCUACAAGGCCACGGUCACCAACGAGGGCACCUUGAAGAUGGACCGGACCACCCCGGCCAAGAUGAAGCUCGACUGGAGUGGCAAUAUACUGGACGAGGUCAUCAACACCGUGUACACAGUAGUGGACACAGACUACGACACCUACGCCGUAGACCUUGAGUGCCAGUCGUGGGGAAUCUUCAAGAGAGUGUCAGCCACCAUUCUCAGCCGCACCAAGGAGCUCCCAGCAGACAAGAUAAAAGAGCUGGAAAGUGAUCUUACGAAAUACAAGAUCGACCUCUCCCGGCUCAAUACCAUCGACCAGGGCAACUGCUUCGAUCCUUCACAGGUCGACUACAAUUUCAAGAUAGACCACAACGGUCUGAGUAUGAUGGGUCUCCUCGGUGACGAAAACCUGGAGCAUAUCAAGACACUUGAAGAAGCUAAGGAGUACCUCAAUAUAACGUCUAGGCCAUGAGACCUGGAUAUAACGUCUGGGCCAUGAGACCUGGAUAUAACGUCUGGGCCAUGAGACCUGGAUAUAACGUCUAGGCCAUGAGACCUGGACAUGUAGAUAAUUGACAUGGAGGGAGAUGUCGAUAUUAUGCUGACAUGAUGUGAGGCUCGCAGGACAUCUUGAUGUUACUUGAGCAGCAGAAGUCGUGAGGGAAGGUCGCGCUCCGCUGAGCUCCUGGAGGCCCUGGAGACUUCAUAGAUUUAAUGAGUAAACAUUCAAUACUAAACGUGAAGCU